rnacentral:rRNA from 1 species
UACGUAGGGGGCUAGCGUUGUCCGGAAUCAUUGGGCGUAAAGAGCGUGUAGGCGGCCCGGUAAGUCCGCUGUGAAAGUCGGGGGCUCAACCCUCGAAUGCCGGUGGAUACUGUCGGGCUAGAGUGCGGAAGAGGCGAGUGGAAUUCCGUGGUGUAGCGGUGAAAUGACGCAGAUAUCAGGAGGAACACCAAUUGCGAAGGCAGCUCGCUGGGACGUAACUGACGCUGAGACGCGAAAGCGUGGGGAGCAAACAGG